CCAGACUCCUACGGGAGGCAGCAGUGGGGAAUAUUGCACAAUGGGGGAAACCCUGAUGCAGCAACGCCGCGUGAGUGAAGAAGUAUUUCGGUAUGUAAAGCUCUAUCAGCAGGGAAGAAAAUGACGGUACCUGAGUAAGAAGCCCCGGCUAACUACGUGCCAGCAGCCGCGGUAAUACGUAGGGGGCAAGCGUUAUCCGGAUUUACUGGGUGUAAAGGGAGCGUAGACGGCGAUGCAAGUCUGAAGUGAAAGCCCGGGGCUCAACCCCGGGACUGCUUUGGAAACUGUAUGGCUGGAGUGCUGGAGAGGCAAGCGGAAUUCCUAGUGUAGCGGUGAAAUGCGUAGAUAUUAGGAAGAACACCAGUGGCGAAGGCGGCUUGCUGGACAGUAACUGACGUUGAGGCUCGAAAGCGUGGGGAGCAAACAGGAUUAGAUACCCUAGUA
rnacentral:rRNA from 1 species